UGGGACUACGGGUGCAUACCACUGCCCUAGUUUGGAUAAUCCUUUUAAAGGCUUUUUUUUUAAAGCACCAGAAUUGUGAUUGCCUGUUUCAUCCUCUGGAAAUAGAACCUUGUAAGACACUUGAAUUGUCAGAAUUCCUUUGAGCAAAGAUUGCAGAAAUCAUUAAAAUGCUUCUAAAUAACUGGCAAUCCUUUGGUCCAGCAAGGUGGACAGCCACUCAUCCUGACCCAGAAUCCAGCCCCAGGUCUGGGCACAAUGGUUACUCAACCAGUAUUGAGGCCUGUUCAGGUCAUGCAGAAUGCCAAUCAU
rnacentral:lncRNA from 10 species